CCGAAGCCGUGGACCUAAGCAAUGUGGUCUGCAAACCAGAGUCUGAGAAGUGUUGUAUUUUGCCGGGUAAGGUAAAAAGAACUGUACACCGGAGGGAGCUUAUAAGACAUCAACGACGGAAUGUUCAGGCAACAAAAGAAGACAGGACAAGACAAGACAAAAUGAAUCACAGGCUCCAGGCUCAGGGAGAGACCCUUCUUCGUGGGAAGAAGACAGAGGACAGAGGGAGAUAACUGGUGACGUCCCUUAACAGAGCUGCAAAAUAUGGACUGUAGACCACAGAGGAGCUGGAAGAGUUCUGAGAGGACUUCCUGGGGUCCUCCUAUUCACCCCUCCAAAAAUUACUGUCAGCAGUGUAAGAGGAGUGCUUCAGGAAAGAACAAUCGGCCUGGAACAGGCUUGGGUGCCACAUUGCCAUCUGGGACCUGCUUCUUACAGGUGAUUGUUGAAUGUAUGGAAACUCCUUAGCCUCUUGUUUUAGUUUAAGAAUAAAAGAAAAAAAUACUUGUUCAAAUGAGAUAGAUUUGUUAGACUAUCAACUACCACUCAACUGUAAGUUUAUAAUCGCUGUCACUUUAAUAAAGGAUGG
rnacentral:lncRNA from 1 species